rnacentral:rRNA from 1 species
GAUGAACGCUGGCGGCGUGCCUAAUACAUGCAAGUCGAGCGAACAGAUGAGGAGCUUGCUCCUCUGACGCUAGCGGCGGACGGGUGAGUAACACGUGGAUAACCUACCUAUAAGACUGGGAUAACUUCGGGAAACCGGAGCUAAUACCGGAUAAUAUAUUGAACCGCAUGGUUCAAUAGUUAAAGACGGUUUUGCUGUCACUUAUAGAUGGAUCCGCGCCGCAUUAGCUAGUUGGUAAGGUAACGGCUUACCAAGGCAACGAUGCGUAGCCGACCUGAGAGGGUGAUCGGCCACACUGGAACUGAGACACGGUCCAGACUCCUACGGGAGGCAGCAGUAGGGAAUCUUCCGCAAUGGGCGAAAGCCUGACGGAGCAACGCCGCGUGAGUGAUGAAGGUCUUCGGAUCGUAAAACUCUGUUAUUAGGGAAGAACAAAUGUGUAAGUAACUAUGCACGUCUUGACGGUACCUAAUCAGAAAGCCACGGCUAACUACGUG